rnacentral:tRNA from 1 species
GGAGAGAUGGCUCAGUGAACUAAAGGGUCGCAUUGCUAAUCCGUUGUACAAGUUUUUCGUACCGAGGGUUUGAAUCCCUCUCUUUCUG